UUACGGCUAUAUCACUUUGCAAAACCAGUUCCCGUACGAUCAGCGACAUUAAGCAACGUCGGGCCUACUCAUUACCUAGAUGGGUGACUACUUGGGUAUUCCAGGUGUU